AUGACUUUUCAGGCAUUGUCUUUCACAUAAUAAAUGAUACACUCUGUUUUUAUCAACUUAAUAUCUCAUACGGAUAGUAUUUGGAUCCAGAUGUUAAGCUUAUUUUUGCAAUGCGGUAGAGUGUUUAAAGCUUGCUUCACCUCCGCCACGGGUUGACCCGGUAUUUCACUACCUACGGGAUCCACCCGCUCACC